rnacentral:rRNA from 1 species
AUACGGAGGAUCCGAGCGUUAUCCGGAUUUAUUGGGUUUAAAGGGCGCGCAGGCGGCCGUCCAAGUCCGGUGUUAAAUGGUCGGGCUCAACCCGAUCAUGCGCUGGAAACUGGGCGGCUUGAGUCCCGUAGGGGAUGCCGGAAUUCCAGGUGUAGGGGUGAAAUCUGUAGAUAUCUGGAAGAACACCGAUGGCGAAGGCAGGCAUCUGGCCGGAGACUGACGCUGAGGCGCGAAGGCGCGGGGAGCGAACAGGUUUAGAUACCCUGGUAGUCCGCGCAGUAAACGAUGCGCACCAGGUGUCGGGCGGCAGCGCCCGGUACCGGAGCUAACGCGAUGAGUGCGCCGCCUGGGGAGUAUGCCCGCAAGGGUGAAACUCAAAUGAAUUGACGGGG